GGUGGGGGGGAGCUGGGGAGGGAUAGUCUGGGGAUAAAUGCCAAAUGUGGGUGAAGGGGAGGAAGGCAGCAGAACACACUGCCAUGUGUGUACCUAUGCAACUAUCUUGCAUGUUCUGCACAUGUACCCCAAAACCUAAAAUGCAAUAAGAAAAAAAUAAAUGUCCUCUAUAUGUUCAAAUCCUUCAUAAAAUCUUCAUGUGAAACUUGCACUUCUAUAAAUGAAUAUAACCAGAUCAUAUGUAAGUCAUUCCUAUUGUCAACAAAGUGGGUUCUACCAAUCAAAACUCAGCAAUUAUCUGUUGAUGUGCUUCUUACCCACUAAUUUACCUGUAAAAUAAUAAUUAUGUAUGAAACUAUAAUUAAUUAAAACUAACAUUAAAAGAAACACAUAUCAUUGGUGAAAAAGAUGUAAUUUUCCUAUCACGUUUGUUAAAGUAGUAUUUAAUUUUAGCAACACACAUAUUCACAAUGGCUUACAUAAAGUAGGGGUUUUAACUUUCUCACGUAACAAGAAAUUUGAAAGUAGGCAGUCCGGAACUAAUACAGUAAUUCUACUAUGUUUCUAGACACCCACAUGUGGUUCCUUCACCUCCUAUAUUAUUGUUUGAAUACUAGGAAAAAUGAGAAGGGCAAGAAGCAACUGACCAUGCUAUGGAAGCAAAAGAUAGGAUGGCAUUGGUGGAAAAUGCCCAUCUUGACAGCAGUGCUGGGAUCAUGGUAACCCUCUUAGCUGUUGGAGUGGAGAUCAGUGUGUGACAUGUGGGCUACUGAUCUAGGUGAGUGUUUGAUAUUGGGGCUAUGCCUCAGGAUACAAAGCAGUCAUCCACUCAGUAGGUAAAACUAAAGUAUAACUGCUGCACAAGACUAGCAGUUUCAAUAUCUGGAAAUCAGGCAGCUUGAACCUAAUUAAGGGACAAGCUGUAAAUAUGUAAAUUACCACUAGUGCAUUGUUUUAAAUAAGAUGACUUGAUCAGGCAGAAUAACCAAUAACAUUUGAUUAUUUGGCAAUCUCAGGAAGAAAUUCAGUAACCAAGAAGUGAAAGUUACCUUGGGACAGUAAGGCAAGAACAGAAAUUGAGACUAAAAGACCAAGGUAAUUGCUGGCUUCGAAGACUUGAGAAAAGGCAAGAGAAGGGAUAUUUUUUCUUGAUAGAUUACAUUACUUCUGAACAAAUAUGCAAUUGUUCUGUAUUAUUGGCCAUCAAUAUUCCCUGAAAUGCUAUAGUUUUGCUUAGGCAUGUAGCACGGUAAUUAAGAAUAUGAACUUUGGGACCACAGUGGCCUAAAUUUCACCUCUAUCACUUUCUGGCUAUGUGACUCAGGCAAUUUACUUAGCCUCUCUGGGCCUUAAUUUUGUUAUCUGUGACAAGAACAUCAUAAUAGUGUAUGUAAAUCAUAGAGAGAUUAUAAAGAUUAUGUGUGCUAACAUAGAUAGCAUGUGCAGAACAAUACAUGGCAUUUAUGAAGCACUAGAUAUAUAUUUGACAGCAAUGAUUUAUUCAUUGAAGUGAAAAACUAGACUAUUAUCACUUUCUAUAAAACAUAGAAUGUAGUUAAAAUGUAUUACAAAUAAUUUAAAAUGAAAUAAGCAUAUUUUAAAUAAGUG
rnacentral:lncRNA from 13 species